rnacentral:rRNA from 5 species
GCGACCCCAGGUCAGGCGGGAUCACCCGCUGAGUUUAAGCAUAUCAAUAAGCGGAGGAGAAGAAACUUACAAGGAUUCCCCUAGUAACGGCGAGCGAACCGGGAAUAGCCCAACUUGAGAA